rnacentral:lncRNA from 1 species
UCUCAAAUUUAAUUUCUCAAAAACUUCAUUCAAAAUACAUGUAGUUCAUUGAUAAAAGUUAGGCAUGUUAAUCUCUCCUUACAUUUGCUCCCAUUCUCAUUCUUUUUGAAUCACACAACCAAAGCUUGACCAUCUUUAGGACCUUGUACAGAGCUCUAAAUUAAUAAUCUGUUUAUCUAUUUGCAUUCAAUUACAAAACUGCAAAAUCUUUCCACUUUCCCUCAGUUAUUAGAAAAGGAUUUCAACCUUCAUAAUCCAACAGGGCCCAACAUUAUCAUCUUGAAUCAUUGGAUCCUGAAUGCAAGCUUCAUUCAUUCUGGAAUGCAAACCCUAAACCUGGAGCCACUUUCACACUAGAAAUAGGUACUCAAUUGAGAUCUGUACAAGUAAAAGUGUAUCACAAUUCUUUCCCCAUGCCCAAGGUCAUCCUUUGGGAUGCCUACUUCCAAAUCCUCACUUUUCACCCUUUUGCUUUUGAUAUUUGUUUUGGAAAGCAUGGACAAAACCCUAAUUUUGAUGGUCAGAGAUUUCAUAUGUUGUUCUCACAGACAAUGAACUUCCAACAAAUGAGAUCAUCUGCAAGUGCUUGCAAGUAAGCUGUCAUGUUGGGUAACCAUCCCCUUGAUUUCCAAACAAAUUUUUAUAGUGAGUAUUCCUUGUCCCACUUAUUUGAGUAAUAACAAUCAACUUGAGUAAAACAAAUAAUAAAACACUCUA